rnacentral:rRNA from 1 species
GAAGUGUUCAUGCGGCAGCCACCUGGAUAUGAGAAUCAAAGCACACCAUAUUAUGUUUGUAAGUUGGAUAAAGCUUUGUAUGGUUUGAAACAGGCCCCAAGAGCCUGGUACUCAAGGUUGAGCAUGCAGUUGCAACAACUUGGAUUUACACCAUCUAAAGCUGAUACUUCAUUGUUCUUUUAUCAUAAAGACAAGAUCACUAUAUUUGUACUUGUUUAUGUUGAUGAUAUAAUUGUUGCAAGCUCCAGUUCAGAGGCCACCACUUGUUUGCUUAAAGAUCUAAAAUUGGAAUUUGCUCUCAAGGACUUGGGUGAUCUUCACUACUUUCUUGGCAUAGAGGUCAACCGAGUCAAAGAUGGUAUUCUUCUUACGCAGGAGAAGUACACUGCUGAUAUACUCAAGAGAGUAGGA